rfam:Gaeumannomyces graminis var. tritici R3-111a-1 unplaced genomic scaffold supercont2.3, whole genome shotgun sequence.
GGCCUCAUGGCGCAGUGGUUCAGCGCCAGGAGACUCUCUUCGGAGGGUGCAGGUUCGAAUCCUGUCGAGGUUA